rnacentral:rRNA from 1 species
CAGAGGGUGCGAGCGUUGUUCGGAAUUACUGGGCGUAAAGCGCGCGCAGGCGGCUUCUUAAGUCUGUCGGUCAAAUGCCGGGGCUCAACCCCGCUGCAUGCCGGGGAUACUGGGAAGCUGGAGACACGUAGAGGCAAGCGGAAUUCCGGGUGUAGCGGUGGAAUGCGUAGAGAUCCGGAAGAACACCGGAGGCGAAGGCGGCUUGCUGGGCGUGAUCUGACGCUGAGGCGCGAAAGCGUGGGGAGCGAACAGGAUUAGAUACCCUGGUAGUCCACGCCGUAAACGAUGGGCACUAGACGCUGGUGGGAUCGACCCCUCCGGUGUCGCAGCUAACGCGAUAAGUGCCCCGCCUGGGGAGUACGGCCGCAAGGCUG